GGACGAGUGGAGACGGGGACAGCCCGAAAGGAGCCAAGGGAGGUGUAAAGAACGCCAGAGCGUGCGAGGAGGAAAUGUUAAGGAAGGGAAGAGGAAGGUCUGGUUUGCCUAUCAAAAGCAGGAAUUUACAAGAAAAAAAGAAAAUAGGCGUAAUGACCCUCUGGCCUAGAAAGUCACCGGGACCACAAGGGGCUUCUCACAGUGUCCUGCCCUGUCACUAACUGCAGCUAGGCCUGGGUGGGUUAAGCCUCGGGAAGGGGUGCUUGUACCCACUCCCUUUCUUUUGUGGAAACACCCUUUGCCGGAGCUCGGGAAAGCCGCGGCUGAGCCUAGGGGGCCGGAAACCACAGCUCCGCCCAGCCCACCUGGGAGCUUGGGGCGCCAGCUGGGGGUGGCGGUGGGGAACACAGGUAGCGGGCCUUCCCUCGAGAGGCUGACAUUAACAGUCGACACCCGGCUAAAGAGCGCAAACCCACCCAGACGUCUGGGCCCGCAGGGGUUGAGAAACACAACCCUGGACUAGUUUGCAAA
rnacentral:lncRNA from 1 species